rnacentral:rRNA from 1 species
GGCGGCGCGCUUAACACAUGCAAGUCGAGCGAGAACCAGUCCUUCGGGACUGGGGACAGCGGCGAACGGGUGAGUAACACGUGGGUAAUCGACCCUUGGUACCGGGAUAGCCCGGGGAAACUCGGAUUAAUACCGGAUGGCCCAGCAGCUCUUCGGGGCGGCUGGAAAAGGUAGCUUCGGCCUCCGACCAAGGACGAGCCCGCGGCGGAUUAGCUUGUUGGCGGGGUAACGGCCCACCAAGGCGACGAUCCGUAGCUGGUCUGAGAGGACGAUCAGCCACACUGGGACUGAGACACGGCCCAGACUCCUACGGGAGGCAGCAGUGGGGAAUCUUGCGCAAUGGGCGAAAGCCUGACGCAGCGACGCCGCGUGGGGGAAGAAGGCUUUCGGGUUGUAAACCCCUUUCAGGAAGGACGAAGCUACUCGGGUUAAUAGCCCA